CCCCACCCCCGAACCCAACAGUGAAUCCUGGGCGGCUUUGGGUGCUCCGCAGAAAGCCAGGGCUGGGUGAACAGGGGAGAGAGGCAGGAGGGAUGUUACUUAUGCUCCUCUGGGGGCAGCUACUUGAGGAAAGUGAGGGCCUUGGCCCUUUGUGCAAAGCGGACAGCGUGCAGGAGGUGCUAGGUGAGUCCCAGGGCGAGUGCGGAGCCCUGCGGAGGGGCGGGGGGAGCACGGGGCACCCAGACCACGCGGAGGAUGCGAUGCAGGGUUCUGAGCAGAGAAGGGGCGCCGUCUGACAUUUCACAAGGAUCCCCGCAGGCUGAGUCCUGCAGGGAGGCCCCGAGAGGCUGCUGGAGCCGCAGGUCCAGAGAGGCGGGCGCAGGGCAGGGGAGGUGCACGGAGGUGGCGGGUUCCAGCCGCAUUCGAAGGCCGGUCUGCUGGGGCUGCGCUCAACUUGGUUUUUCUCAAGCAGCUGUGAGCUAGACUUUGGUGACAAGGGGAGGACUUCCACAGAAACGGGGGGGACUUCCUUUGGCGGGAUCCUGCGCCCAAGCUGCCCGCUGGGCACAGAAGCGGGAAGUUGAUACCGGAGCCCAGCGAGCGGUCAGCCCCGGAGUCUCCGGAGUAGGCUCAGGACCCCAUGAGAUCAUUUAGGGAGUGAGUGGGAACAAAAGGCGAGGCCAAGGAGCAAGCUGAAGGGGCCAGCCCCGCGAGAUCGGGAAGGGAAGACCAGUAGGGCAUUCUGGGAGACCCGCAGGGGAUUCUGGGAGGCCAGCGGGGGAUUCUGGGAGACAGUGGAAGAUUCUAGGAGACCAGCAGGGGAUUCUGGGAGGCCAGUGGAGGGUUCUGGGAGGCCAGUGGAGGAUUCUGGGAGACCAGUGGAGGAUUCUGGGAGGCCAGUGGAGGGUUCUGGGAGGCCAAUGAGGGAUUCUGGGAGGCCAAUGAGGGAUUCUGGGGAGGAGGAGCCAGAUAGCAGCGUAUCAUCUUCUGGUGGAGCAGGCCGCCUGCCCACCCUCCGGGGAGACUGGGGUCGGCCCUGGAACCUUGGCCUCAGCACUGGGGACAGCGCGUGACCGUUGAGGGCUGUUUCAGUGGGCGGCAGUGGGAAGGCGGCUGGAGCGCUCGCUAGAAAGAGACCAGAAAGGAUCCCGAGAGACCGGAGUGAGACCUAGGACGGAUCUAGACGACAGACAGACUGAUCUUUCAUCAGCUUAUUCAUUCCCUAAAUGCCUGCAGCAGUGACGGUUGGACCAGGCCAAGCCAGGAGCCCAGAACUCCAUCCAGCUCCAUGUGGGUGACAGGGAGCCGUCACCCGCCGCCUCCCUGGUGUAUUAGCAGGAAGCUGGAAGAAAAGCGAAGUAGCAGGGACUCCAGCCCGAUGCUCCCGUAGACAAUGUGAGCCUCCGAAUGCCUGCCGCUCCCCGUAGAUUUUUAAAUGAUAUGUUUUGUACCUAAAACUGCCUUUGAUGUUUCCCAGAGGAAAAACACUAACAAUUUGUCCUCUUACUUCGCACAAAAGAGAAUCAUUGGAAAUGCUUAGUUGUAUUUGAUUUGUUACUUUUGAUGAGUUGUGUAGGAAGAGUUGUGGAAACAGAAGAGACACUUUGCUUUCCUCAGAUUAAAGUUGUAUGGUAGGCCAGUGCCGCAGCUCACUAGGCUAAUCCUCCACCUGCGGCGCCAGCACCCCGGGUUCUAGUCCUGGUCAGGGCGACAGAUUCUGUCCUGGUUGCUCCUCUUCCAGGCCAGCUCUCUGCUGUGGCCCGGGAGUGCAGUGGAGGAUGGCCCAAGGAGGAAGCACCUGGCUCCUGGCUUUGGAUUGGCGCAGCACACCGGCUGCAACACACUGGCCGUAGCGGCCACUUGGGGGGUAAACCAACGGAAAAAGGAAGACCUUUCUCUCUGUCUCUCUCUCUCACUAACUCUGCCUGUCAAAAAAAAAAAAAAAAAAAGUUGUGUGGUAGAAUGCUAUAAAAUACAGGUUUUCAGGAAUUGUAUGCUAUGUGGGAAAUUCCUAGAGACUUGUCAAUGCCUCGUUGUCCAUGAUGUGCUUUUAUUUUUUUAAGAUUUAUUUAUUUAACUUGAAAGUCAGAGUUAUACAGAGAGAGGAGAGGCAGAGAGAGCGAGGUCUUCCAUCUGCUAGUUCACUUCCCAGUUGGCCGCAAUGGCUGGAGCUGAGCUAAUCUGAAGCCAGGAGCCAGGAGCUUCUUCCAGGUCUUCCACGUGGGUGCGGGGGCUCAGGGGCUCCGGCCAUCUUCCGCUGCUUUCCCAGGCCAUAGCAGAGAGCUGGAUUGGAAGUGGAGCAGUCAGGAUUCAAACUGGCACCCAUAUGGGAUGCCGGCACUGCAGGCGGCGGCUUUACCUGCUGCGCCACAGCACCAGCCCCUCAUGAUGUAUUUCUUGGUGCUGCUUUCCCAGAUCUUAGACAACCAUAGUAGAAUGUUAUCAGUCAUGAUUUCAGCUGUUUCUUUAAGUGGUAACCCAGUCACAGCUUCUUUGAUUUGAAUCUAGUGUCUCUGAGGCCAGCAGUUUUCAUUUACCAAUGGAGUGUUAUUAAACUUAAGAUCUAUUCUAAAUGUAUAAAUCUCUUUACUUGAAAUGCUUUUAUGUAUCUUUAUAUAGUCUUAAUGUGUUUGAACAUAUGUUUAGUAAUGAUAAAUUAUGUACCAAUAUUAUUAUUAUAUAUCUGAAAUUUUAUAUUAUAUAUUGUUAUAUAUCUGAAUUUUUUCCUGUAAAAAGAUUGUUUUUUUUUUCUUUUUUAAAGCAAGAAUUACAGAAAGAGAGAGGCAGAGAUUUCCAUCUGCUGGCUCACUCCCCAAAUGGCCACAAUGGCCAGGCCCAUGCCAGGUUGAAGCCAGGAACUCCAUCCAGAUCUCUCACUUGAGUGGCAAGGGCCCAAACACUUGGGCUUUCUUCUACUGUUUUCCUAGGGGCAUUAUCAGGAGCUGGAUUGGAAGUGGAGCAGCCUGGACUUGAACUGGCACUUAUAUGGGGUGCUGGCAUUGCAGGCGGCAGCUUAACCUGCUGUGCCACAAUUCUGGCCAGUUCUUUUGUUUUUAUAAAUUAUAUACAACAUCUCCUAUUUAAAAAUAGGGUUAUCCAUUAUGUUAAUAGGUCUAUUUUUUUUUUUCUUAAUUUGAGAGACAGAGGAAUAGAGAUAGAAAGAGAACUCCCAUCUGUCGGUUCAUUCCUCAGAUGCUUGCAAUGGCUGGAACUAAAAACUCCGUCUAGAUCUUCCACAUGAGUGGCAGAUCCCCAAUUACUUAAGACACCACCUGCUGCCUCCCAGGAUCCACACCAGCAAGGAACUAGAAUUAGGAUUGGAACUGGGAUUGAAACACAGGCACUCCAAUAUGGGAUAUGGUGUCUCAAACAAUGUCCCAACCUCUAAGCCAAAUGCCCACCCCUUUCAUCUAAAACAUUUUAGGCUGAUUUUACUGUUUUGUUUUGCACGUCACAGAAACAACCAAUUUUCCAUGUCAGUUGUACCAUCCUUGUUAUGAACUCUGAGCAGGUCCUUCACAUUUGAAACUUGUCAAUAAUAGGUUAACCACAGUCAUUUCAUUUUGCCAUCUACAGAUAGUUUUUUGUCUCACUCUGGUACUUCCUUGAAAGCUCUUACAGUCAACUGCAGACCACAGCGUCUCGUCUUCCACCAAGAAGGGGUGUGUCUGGGCAGUGUGGUCAAGACCUCUGCUGGGACAUAAUUGGAGACACCGAUCACAUACUCAAAGCUUUGCUUGGAAUAUCCUAUUUGAGAACAAGGCUCAUUUAACCAGGCAUGACCCGACACUUUUGAGCAACUAGGGUUGUUUUUAUGGAGCCAAUGCGUACAAGAUCUGGGAAAAGUGGCCUGGAACCUGGCUUGCAGAGUUCCCAGCCUUGCAGGUGAAUAAGGAAGGUCAAUUAUUGGCAAGCCCCUGAGCUUCUAGAUACAGUGCCUGGGGGACCCUGAGGAGUGGAAUUUGCUCAGACUGAUAGGUACCAGCAGUGAACGUGAUGUUAAGUUCUUGACUUGAUUUCCCAACCUCAGGAUCCGUUCAGAAUUCCUUCCUUCCCAAGGCUUCCAGCAAAGCAAACAGAAGGAGCUCAAAUGGGAAAUGACCAUCCUCGCCAUGAGACUGGUCUAAUUUUGUGACCAAGAAGAAUCUGUCUUUGAGAUUAUCCUAAUGAAAAGCGAGGUGACUGAAAAGAGAAAUGCUGUGUUUCCAGACUCCUGGUGAGCAGACACCAGCCCUUCUCCUUGCCUCUGAGUUUUCUCAUGCUUCUUUCUACACGGCAGGUGGCCGGUGACUAUGCAGGCUCUGUCUGAUGAGAUUAAUGGACUUCCUUCUCAUACCCCUUGUGGAUAAACCAGUUUGAGUGCCAACUUUUCAAGUGGACUGGAUCCUGUUGUUGAUCCUUACCAAAUGUCUACUUCCUCCGGUUUUCCUCAUAUCUGACUAUUAGGGAGCAUCAAGGAGUCCAUGGAAAAAUGGAAUUAAAGAUAAAGUCAUUUUGGUGCAAAAGUUUUGAACUCCAUGCAUAUUUUCCCAUAGUACAUUUUCCAUGAACUUUUUGAAGAUCCCUUGUACACACCCUUCCCAACAAACCUGACCCAUUUUCCUUCCUACAGCCUGAACUGGCAUCACCAGGAAUUAAAACCUGACUGCCCAGAUCCCUGUCAGGACUCUGGGCUGCCUUGGGGGUGGCCUUGUCUCACAAGAUAUGAAGUUCUGAGAGCUGAAGCCCCAUGACUUGGCCUAAACCUCAGGAGACCCAGCAGCUUAGCAAACCAUGGACGAGCCAUUGGCUGGACCACAGAGGAAGUCCAUCCGCCAGAAGGCUCCAGUCCUCCAUGCCCUCCUGGGAGGAGUAGCAAGACCGUGGAUACACAAAGUCAUCAACAUCUCAGCUCCGUCUCAGAGACUCAGGGAGCUGUGCUGAGGGGUUUUCUUCUGCUGACCCCUUGGAAUUCACAGAACUGGUUCCUUCUCAGGGUUCAGCUCCUGGCCGUUUGCUUUAAUACUGCUUCUACGUUAUUACUUUUCUGUUUCGGACAUCCAUCUUUUAGGAUGCCUGGGUCUCCAGGACCCUCAAGCAGCUCAGCUGUCAACAGAUGGCUCAACAGCUUUUGUGGGAACAGCAGCAACAGGAGUCCUAGCAGGACUGUGUCUUAGGCGCCGGUUUGGAGAUUUGCGCUUUCUCCGAGCUGUUAGUGAUGAGCGACAUUCACCCGGGGCCAAAGCUGGGACUGACAAUGCCGAACUUUACCCGAGCCUCAUGCAACUCGGCAGCGAUGGUUAGAAACACCACCCUUUUGAGUUUCAGAAAGAGCGAGCCAGCCGACCACAGAGCGCCAAGCUAUUCUCUCGAUUCCUGAUAGAAGACCAACCUCCAUCCAUCCCAUGAUGCUCUUGCCUACCUGCCUCUCUAAGACCCCAGGCUCCCUGCCUCGUCUUUGAGAUGUUCCUUGGGAACGGAACUUCUCCUUAUCUCACUAGCCUGAAUGAAGUCACUUCCUUAAUGAUCGGGUAAUUUUGUGUGCCACAGCCAGUGAGUGCCUCCUUUGGUGGCGGCAGCCAGCACCUCACCCAUGACUGUGCUGCUGGAGGGGCAGCCACCUGUGCCCCGGGGCUCUUUCCAGUGCUCCUGUGGCUUAACCUGUGUGCAACCACUUUUCAGAAGCUCAGGACGUGAGCCAACCCAGAGAGGGAUGCCUCGGUUAGUGGAGCAGGUGGAAGGGAAACGCCUGCCUCCCGUGCUGACUGAGACAGGAAGGAGUCAGUCUGAGAUACUUCUGGGCUGAGACAGUGGUGACACAUGCCCAGUUAUGCCUUUAUUGGAAGGAGGAAAUAAUAUCCAGCCUGGACAGGUAUUGGGUAGAAAGCAGGCCAAGUCAGAGCUGGGCUGGGGCAAGUGCUGUAAAAUGUGCAAGUUUUAAACCCACAGAUCCCAUCUCAUUGCUCUUCUCAGUGGAGAGAAGGCAAGGAGGGCUCCCUUGGGUAGCAUGUGCGUGGUCAGGGGUGUUUGAAGGCAGGGAUCAAUGGGAUCUCUCAGCUCUGUGACUUUGCAGGGUGGAUUUUAGCAAGGGCAUGUGAUGUAAGGACAAGGAGACCCUGAUAAUGUCACCAUUCCAUAGCCAUCUCUUGUUGCCCGAGAGGAACCCAGGAGUUCCUGGAUUCUUUAUUGUCCGUUUCCCCCGGUGAAGUAAGUGUCAGGGAUCUUGUCUGUUGCAAGAUCCCAGGGACCAGCAAUAACCAGGAAGCCCCUAAGAAUUCUUAGGGCCCUUGGAUGUUGUGUGUGGUGUUCCCAAGCCUAGCACAGUACUUGGUACCCGGGAGGCAUUUCAUGGUGCUUGGGCAUCUGUCCUUCCUGUGAAUCACAUGUUCUGGGUCUUAUAAAGGAUGACAAAGCAAGAAAGCUUGCUGGGUAAGACAGGGGGAUGGGGUGACUCUUGUUACUUGGACUUGUAUACACAAAGUUUUAGCCAAGUGGUUGCCUAGAACCCUUUUGGAAAACUCCAGUCACUGGGAGUCAAAUGCCCACUUUUAAUUAGCCAAGGCUGGGUUUUCCCGUCUCAAGCCGCAGUGCUCAGCCAUCAAGGCCACCUGCUGCAAGUCCCGUUGAGUUCAUCUCUGCCAGCCUUUAUGCCUGUCUCAAAGUAAUUUGUGUGCUGGGAGUUGGCUUUGAACAGAGCGGAUUCUUUGAAAAACAGGCAGAAAAACCAAAGUCCUUUAGCAAUAAGGUAGUCCCAUAUACGUGGCUGGGAGGUGUCCAAGCCAGGCAGCCCCAGGAGGAUUGAGUUAGUGUAGGUUUGGAUGAGGGCAGAAGAGAGCAGGUUCUUGGUUUCCGGGGGAGUUCGUGCUUGCUUGGUGGGGGUGGGGGUGGUGUGUCCAAAUUAAAUUCCUUUUAUUUUGAGGGCAGCCCAUUGACAAGGCAAUGAUGGAAAAGUGAAGUUUUGGAUACCAAAGGGAACCAGAGAAUUUUGAUGUCAUAAGGGUUUGUUACUGAACUGCAAAUACCUGGUCAAGUCAACCUCAAGUGAAUUGACUGAUAUUUGGGGGAAGGGAUGCUGACUGACAUGUGAUAGAGAUAGACCUAGGAAAUAACCGUAGGUCAGGGCACCAGCCGAGCACAGCUUGGCCCCUGCCCCAGGAAGCCUCGGAGGCAGGAGGGCCUUCUUUGCUGGCACACACAGACCCACACUUGAACUGUUCGCCCUAAGAAAGUUCAGCUUCACAAAUGGACUGGAUUGGUUCCAUGGGUUGAAAAUGGUGAAGUGAAUGAAGGUCUGUUACUGGGAUGGCCUAGACUAGGGUCACCAAGACAGGGUCCGAGGCCCGGUAAGAAACAAUGGCUCAAUGUGUUCACAGGGGUUUGCACGAGGGAACAGCAUAGUUACAGCCUAGCCUCCCUUCUUACUAGGUGGAUCUCUCUGGGUGGUCCCUGUCGUGGUCCUGCACGGCCCUGUUUCAGCUUCAGUUGCCAGUUUUCUUUCUUUAGAAGAACAUUAGUCCCUGGUGGGCACGUUCAAGUACCUCUUAAGUCCCCACGGUAAGCUUCUUCCAGGUUGUCUUGAGUGGAAGACCUGAACUUCAAAAGAUGGAUGUAACCAUCUUGCUCUGCUUUGCUGUAAGUGGGAUGGACGAUGCCUACCUAGGAUCGUGUUGGUUGCAAGAAAGUAGAAGAGCUCCAUGUCCAAGUAGCUAAGUGAGGAUGAGACAAGGGCUUCCGGUUAGGUGGGGCUAGGAGCAGUGGGACAUUGAGCAGAGAUCACAGGUAGCAGUCAAGGGGCUCUGUGGGUAUGCGCAUGGCAGUGGUGGGAUGCCCCAGCAUCUGGGACCCAUCUGUGCCAUGCCACCUGUGCAUAUUAAUGUAGCCCAGCAUCCUGAAGGCUCCCUGGCACCCUGAAAUCUGUGGUGACAAGCAUCAGAUUUACCUGCAUAGCCAGAUUCUUUGUGGGUCUUAGAGCAGGGAACCGGGUUUGGGUUGCUGGCAAAGGACUUUGUUCUUGGGGGCUGGGAGGAGACAGAGGACAAAAACAUCUAUUAUUAAGCUGAGGAAAAUGCUGUGGUUGCCUGUCUGGCUGGUGACAAUGUGUGGUGGGGGUUUGUGUAUAUGAGAGUGAGUAUAUGCGCACAGUUGUAAAGGAAGUGCAGCAAGAGGCGACCCCUGGCUCUCAUCCUGAGACCCACUGACUCACCCCAAGCAGUGCCUGCCGGGCUGGAAGGCAAGAAGAGGUGGUGCUCUGUAAACCUGGCCUCUCCUGCUGAGUCCACUCCCUACCAGAAAGAAUGCGCUGAGUCUGCCAGGUGGGACCAGCUCCAAUGCGGGCAUGCAUAACCUCCCACUGAAGGGCGGCCAGUGACCUCUGCUGCCUUCUGGAAGAAGACGGACCCAGGGGUCAGGGCUAUGGGGCCAGUGGCAAGUGGCAGCCAUGGCUGGAAUUGAGCCUUCUCACGAUUCUGCUGUGAUGGGAGAGUCUGGGGAAGCUGCAGCCACUGUGCUAUCAUCCCACUGCUUGUCAGAAGGGAGCGUUCAGACCCUCCUAGGAUGGUACAGAAGAUGGGCUCUGUCUAGUCCAGGCACGGUCCAGGCAACAGCGUUAAUCAUGACUCAUGCCAUGAACUGGCGCGACAGGAAUGCAGCUGAUGGACUUGGCCGCUGGCCCUCACUUGCCAUCAGUGCCCCAAGAAGGAGCUGCAGUAUCUCUAGCUAUUUUAGGGCUGAUGCAGAAGAUAUCUUUGUAUUGCCAGUGUGCGAAUACCAUGUAAUAGUACCUAAGGUACAUAAAGUGUGCUGGAGAGGGCCCAGAUCAAGUCAAGUCCAUCACAUUGAAACCUGAUGUCUCCCAGGCCAAGGAGCCAUGUGUACAGUUGCCGUGUCAUGGCAACCUUUGCAAACCCGGCUGUACCCAGCCGUACCAGUGCCACCUCCAUGGCACAUUCCAUGGCCACUCCCAGGAUCGUUCAGGAACAUUUCCAGCCAGUCUGGGAGCCAGCCCAGGGAUAUGCCCUUUGUAGUAAGUCUUGGACUAAAAGAGAUAAAAAUUAGUUACACAAUGUAUGAAGCACCAGCAGUGUAACAUCUUCACUCCAUGUGUCUAGUCUGACUGGCUCAUCUCGGUUCUUGCCGCCAACACCAUCCUAGGGAGGCGUCUCCCACCCUGUUUACAUUGGAAGCAUAGCCAGAUGGUUACAUCCGUCUUUUUUUUUUUUUUUUUUCAUGAACAGAUAGGUUUAUUUCAAUAAGUUUGAAACUCUUGCUUUUAUGCAAGCGUACUACAGUAAGUAUAUCGGGAAUUGACAAUGCCCUACACUGUCAAAUGUAUAAAGUUAUGCAUUUGUAUACAAAUGUAUAAAAGUUCCUUUUGCACUUUCUUCAACACUGUGUUGUCCACUUCUGCUUUGACCUCUGCUGAGUCGACCCGGGCUGCUUCUGCGGGGACUCUGGCAUCUCAGGUGGGGAGGGGGCGAGGGGGCCUGAAGUAGACCUUCCCCACGUCAUAGACAAGCCGCCAUGGCCCAGGACUGGUGUCUGGGGUUACACAUACCUCACCCCACCCCAGAACACAAAGCUAGAGUGUGGGUAGAUGAGGUAUCUCUAGUAAUGUAAACUCUCAAUAAAUGCACUACUACUCCUGAUCGUAAUUGUAUGCCCCUGGUUAAAAUUACCAGCCAGAUUAACUCUAACACCAUGGAAUGUUUCUAAUUAAAAUUACAUUAAGACAGGCUGAUUUCUGACUAAGCAUUUCAAAUGAAGUUCCAGCACUGAUUGCCCUAACCAAAAUCAGCUCCAAAGACAUCUUGAUCAUAUUAAAGCACGGAUUAUGUCAUAGAAAACAUUUGUAAACAUGUGGCUCUUUGCCAAGCUCUCUCGCUUAUGAUUAAAAAUAAGUUCUACGUUCUUGUAUUAUCUGUUUUCUGAAUACCAAUCUCCCAUACAACUUUAUUUAGCAGAGUUGGCCACACUUACACAAAACUGAGCGUUUUUACAUUUGAUUUAUUCUGCCUUAGAAGUCACAAAGCAAUUGGCAAUUCUGCCUCUAAAGCAAUUCAUUAAUAAUUCCCUUGCCCCAAAAUAAUGACCACCCAAGUCACUACUUACACGAUUUCUGCGUAAGCUUAUUUGUGCUGAUGUUUCCAGUGCCCUUCCUAAUUCUUCUAACUGAAGCCUGCGGAACCACAAACAUCUGAUCUCCUGCAGAACCUCUCCAGAUCGAUACAGAUCGGAUUUUGAUUUUACUUUAAAAAUUACUCCAUUCCAUUAGCUAAUGAGAUGCUUUUAUAAAAAACCUUUCACAAACCAAAUUAAACUUUCAAAUAGUAAACUCAAGUAUAUGUACUCAGGUAAUCACACACCUACAGUAUUUUAAGAUAAUGGGUAUGGUUCAGAUGGAACAGGGUGGCACCUGACUCGACAGUUAAGAACCUGCAUCCCUUAGGGGAGUGCCUGGGUUUGAGUCUCCGCUCUGCUAACAAUUCAGCUUCUUGCUAAUGUGUCCUGGGAGACAGCAGGUGAUGGUUCAAGUACUUGGGCCUCUGCCACCCAUGUGGGAGACCUGGGUGGAGUUCUGGGCUCCCUUGGCUAUUGUGGGCAUUUGGGGCAUGAAUCAGCAGAUGGAAGAUCUCUCUUUCUCUCUCUGUUGUUCAGCAUUUUUUUUUUCCUAAAGAUUUAUUUAUUUGAAAGGCAGAAUUGCAGGGGUGGAGGGGAGAGAGAGAGAGAGAUAUCUUCCAUCCACUGCUUCACUCCCCAGUGGCCACAACAGCUGGAGCUGUGCCAAUCCAAAGCCAGGAGCCAAGAGCUUCUUCCAAGUCUCCCACAUGGGUGAGGUAGCCCAAGCACUUGGGCUAUCUUCUACUGCUAUCCCAGGCCAUAGUAGAGAGCUGGAUUGGAAGUGGAGCAUUCGGGUCUCGAACUGGCACCCAUAUGGAAUGCUAGCACUACAGGUGGAGGCUUUACCUGCCACACCACAGCAUCGGCCCCAUCAGCCUUUCAAACAAACUUUUAAAACACAGAAGGCCAAAUUGAACACAUCCCUGUGGUGGUAGGGAAGGGAGAGGAGCAGAGAGCUGAGGCCAGGGCUGGGUUCUCAGCCCCUGAGCCCAUCUGGGCAGGCUUUCCCGAUCUCCCGUGCACCUGACACACUUCCUUCCUUUAACAGUCAACAGGGAGGAGCUUUGCCCCAAAGUGUUGUCUCCAUCUUCCGAUUAAAAAGAAAAGUCGUAUUUACAACUUCCAGCUUGACAAUCAUCAAGGUCUGUGGUUUAUCGACUUGGGUCUCUGGCUCCCUGGGGCCAAGGACUCCUUCUUCUCCGGGAUGCUGUGCUGUGCCCUUGUCUGAGUCAUCCUUGAGGCUGGAUCCCUGCACUCACCCCCUGCCCUUUGGUGGGGCCUGGAACCAGCACCUCUGAGAUUCCCGUCACCACAGGGAGGUGCCGACGAGGGCACGGACUAGUACUUCACCUUCAGGUUUCCUUCUCGGCGUCUUCUCUCACUCUGUCUCUUUCUCCAUGCCUCUGUCUGUCCAUCCACCUCUGCCUCUUGCUCUCCAUCCUUCUGUCACUGUGUCCGCUUCUCUGGCUCUCUCCUCUGCGUCUCUGCCUCCCUCUCGCUGUUAAUCUCUUUUUGCCUCUGAUUCUGUCUCCCUGCGUCUGUCUCUGUCUCCCUCCGGGCUCGGUCUUCGGCCUUUAUCCCGCCUCACUUGCCAAGUCAGUGCCCUUUGCCAGGGCACCUCCCAGGCCUACAGUGACAGCCGUGUGGAAUCUGAGGGUAGAAGCCAGAUGGCUCACAAGGACUUUGAAGAUUCUGUUUUAAAGUCAUGGGAGUAAAAGUAGUGAUUAAAAAAAAAAAAAUCCGUGCAUGGGUCCUGUGCCAGGGGCAUCUCCUAUGUUGUUUCUGACCCUAAACGAAGAAAUGAGAUGCCUUAUUCCGUGGCACCCAAGACACUUUGCUUGUAGGACCACCAUUAUAUCACAUCCUUUCAGACAAAAGGCCCACCGUCUACACCGCAACCCGCCCUUGAUGGCUGCCUGCGUCUUCAUUUCAGCCAUGCUGAGACGUGCAGGGACAGAAAGGGCAUGGAGAGGUGGGGAGCAGGGUGAAGGCAGACGAGGAAGCUGAGGACAGAGGAGCCCGGAGCCUCCUUCGAGGGGUCGGGCUGUCCCCAGCCUCUGUGUCAAGCUUGGAGGCCUUUUUCCUCCAGCAAUAUCUGCUUUCCCACCUGCUUGUCCCCAGGAACACCAGAAGCCCCCUAUCACCGACUGGGGCGGGGCACCUGUUCAGCACUGGAACUGCUGCCCCCGAGGCCACCUCCCCAUGUCCACCACAGAGCCUGGUACGGGACUGUGUGUUCCGCGGCCACUCUGAGAUUGCUGGCCGUGGUGGGGUUGGCAUGGAACAAGCGGGCACUGGCCGUGGCCACCAAACCCACCGCGGUGCUCCACUUCUCUUUUUUAAAGGAUUUAUUUAUUUAUUUGAAAGGCAAGAGUUAGAGAGAGUGAGAUUUGAUCUGCUGGUUUCACUCCCCAAAUGGCCACAUUGGCUGGGGCUGGUCCAAGCCAAAGCCAGGAGCCAGGAGCUUCUUCCAGGUUUCCCAUGUAGAUGCAGGGGCCCAAGGACUUGAGCCAUCCUUUGAUGCUUUCCCAGGUGCAUCAGCAGAGAGCUGGAUCAGAAGUGGGGCAGCCGGGACUUGAACCGGUGUCCAUAUGGGAUGCCGCUGCCCCAGGGGCCCUUUACUGGCUACACCCCAGCACCAGCCCCUCUCCACUUCCUGUCCUGGCUGGGGAGAGAGCCACAGCUAAGGCAGCUGAACUGUCAAGGUGGAUGUGGGGCUCUUUCACUGCUUCUGCCCACCCCACCUAUUCUUCUCCGUCCACAGUGGCCGCCUCUCGGGUCCCUGACUCAAUUUUCCUCGUCCGCCUCCACGUGUUUCCCUGGAGAUGACCGGGGUCUCUGUGGCUGAAGCGAGCUGCCAUGUGCUUCCCUGUGUGCAUUUGGCAAUGCAGGCCGAGCUUACUAACACCUGCACACACAGGAAGGGCUGUCCCCGCAGCCCUGGGAGGGUGAGGGGCCACACACGCAGUCCCCACCCGGCUGGAGUCCACAGCCCGGUGAGCGAGCAGAAGUCAUCAGAGCAGCUCAGAAAUUAGUGGAGAUGGGAGGAGCUGGGUUGGAGCAGGCACCCCCAACACACACACGCUCACACACACACACACUGUACGCCCCCUCCCCCCCACUUAUGGUUGAGGGUGGGGCCAUGUGGUAGGUGCCCGCCAAGGACCCUGAGUGGGCAUGCGUGUCCCCUCCAGGCACAGCCUGUCAAAACCGGUUGUCUCGCCAACCCUCUGCCCACGCUGAUGACCUUGGGCCCCCGCACUACCCAGCCCACAACGAGCCCAGAGUUCCCGAGAAAGAAACCGGAACUGAGUUUGUUUCCUGAGAUCCUGGGUUUGACUCAGCGCCUGGUGGUAACCACCUUACCUAACAGGGUCACACGUUCCUACAAGGGGUGACACGUCAAGAACGAACCAGUCGGGCAGGCAGUGUGGCGCGUGGGCACCCACAUCCCCUGUCAUGGUGCUGGUUCCAGGCCUGGCUCCUCUGCUUUCAACCCGGCUCCCUGUUAUGCACCUGGGAAGCUGCAGGUGAUGGCCCUGGUACUUGAGAUCUUACCAUCUGCAUGGAGACAGGGAUGGAGUUCCAGGGUCCCACAGCCUGAGCAAAGGCCCUGUGGUCAGAGAGCACUUUGGAUGCGCAGUGCUGCAUCUGCUCCCUGUGCGGCUGGUUUACGGAGGGCACCCUGGGGUGCACGCUGAGGUGGCUGCUGCCUGGCUCUCCCACAGCAGGGGCUGCUCUGCCCUCCCCUCCUCAGCCCCUCACAACCAGUCCGCAGCCCCCUGGAUGGGGUC